CUUGCGUCGAAGAAGAAUAACAAAACAACGUGUUGUCAAAGUGUUUAUAUUCAAUCAGACGCGCUGGAAAAGAAAGUUUUUUCCCCUGCGAACAAGUCAAGAUAAGUGACAAUUUUGUUUGAAAGUAAUUAAGCUGGUGCUGGCGAUGAUUAUGGAGGAACUACUUGAUUGGAGGAGUCAGAAGGAUUCAAGACAGCGUAGUCAAUAAUUUUGUAGAAGUUGAUUUCCUGACAAUAUUGAACAAAGUGUUUUGGGACCCUUGUAAGGUUCCUGUUCCCCAAGUUUGAUGGCCCACUCAUCAAAGAACUCCUGAAGGAGUCCCACAGAGUACCUCUCACACUUGAUGUAAGUCCGGACCGUGUACAAGGCCUUGUGAAACUGCCUCUCGAUGUCCGUCAGUUCUUCAAACACUUUGCUGGCCGACCACAGCAGAACCUGCAGCAUGAUGCAUGACGUCGACCCACAAGUCUUUGGCAGCAUCUCUUUCUACGCCAUCAAAGGGUUAUCGUGCUGUGAUUUUACCAGUCCGGCCCACUUGGGAGGAGAUUGACACCCCUGAUCUACACUGUGACGACUCUAUUGCUUUUUACUUCUUAUUUUGUUAAAGGGGAACAUUAUCAGCAGACCUAUGUAAGCAUCAAUAUAUACCUUGAUGGUGCAGAAAAAAGACCAUAUGUUUUUUUAACCGAUUUCCGAACUCUAAAUGGGUGAAUUUUGGCAAAUUAAACGCCUUUCUGUUUAUCGCGCUGGAGGCGAUGACGUCAGAAUGUGACGUCGCCGAGGUAACACACCCGCCAUUUUCAUUUUCAACACAUUACAAACACCGGGUCUCAGCUCUGUUAUUUUCCGUUUUUUUGACUAUUUUUUGGAACCUUGGAGUCAUCAUGCCUCGUGGGUGUGUUGUCGGAGGGUGUAACAACACUAACAGGGAGGGAUUCAAGUUGCACCACUGGCCCCAAGAUGCCAAAGUGUCUGCCGCCAGACCCCCAUUGAAUGUACCAGAGUGUCUCCACAUUUGACCGGCGAUGCUAAGACAGACAUGGCACAGAGAUGUAUGGAUAACCUGCAGAUGCAUUUGCAACUAUAAAGUC